rnacentral:rRNA from 1 species
AGAGUUUGAUCCUGGCUCAGGAUGAACGCUAGCAGCAGGCCUAACACAUGCAAGUCGAGGGGUAGCAGGAUUAAGCUUGCUUAAUUGCUGACGACCGGCGCACGGGUGCGUAACGCGUAUGCAACCUACCUUAUACUGGGGUAUAGCCCGGAGAAAUUCGGAUUAAUCCCCCAUAGUACUAUUUGAUCGCAUGGUUGAAUAGUUAAAGCAUUGCGGUAUAAGAUGGGCAUGCGUCCUAUUAGCUAGAUGGUGAGGUAACGGCUCACCAUGGCUACGAUAGGUAGGGGGCCUGAGAGGGUGGUCCCCCACACUGGUACUGAGACACGGACCAGACUCCUACGGGAGGCAGCAGUGAGGAAUAUUGGUCAAUGGGCGCAAGCCUGAACCAGCCAUGCCGCGUGCAGGAAGAAUGCCCUAUGGGUUGUAAACUGCUUUUAUUUGGGAAUAAACCUCUUUACGUGUAGAGAGCUGAAGGUACCAAAUGAAUAAGCACCGGCUAACUCCGUGCCAGCAGCCGCGGUAAUACGGAGGGUGCAAGCGUUAUCCGGAAUCAUUGGGUUUAAAGGGUCCGCAGGCGGAUUUAUAAGUCAGUGGUGAAAUCCUAUCGCUUAACGAUAGAACUGCCAUUGAUACUGUAAGUCUUGAAUUCGGUCGGAGUGGGCGGAAUGUGUAGUGUAGCGGUGAAAUGCAUAGAUAUUACACAGAACACCGAUAGCGAAGGCAGCUCACUAGGCCUGAAUUGACGCUCAGGGACGAAAGCGUGGGGAUCAAACAGGAUUAGAUACCCUGGUAGUCCACGCUGUAAACGAUGAUUACUCGUUUUCGGCGAUAUACAGUCGGAGACUAAGCGAAAGUGAUAAGUAAUCCACCUGGGGAGUACGAUCGCAAGGUUGAAACUCAAAGGAAUUGACGGG